rnacentral:rRNA from 1 species
GGUGAUUGUUGUAGUAAUACACCGGUCACCUAGUGGCGCACGGGUGAGUAACACGUGAAUUACAUGCCCUUGAGUGGGGGAUAGCCCGCCGAAAGGUGGAUUAAUACCCCAUGGUAUCCUAGGAUUAAAGGUGGCUUCGGCUGCCGCUCAAGGAUUGGUUCGCGCCCUAUCAGCUUGUUGGUGAGGUAACGGCUCACCAAGGCUACGACGGGUACCUGGUUUGAGAGGACGAUCAGGCACACUGGAACUGAGACACGGUCCAGACACCUACGGGUGGCAGCAGUCGAGAAUAAUUCACAAUGGACGAAAGUCUGAUGGUGCAACGCCGCGUGGAGGAUGACGGUCUUCGGAUUGUAAACUCCUGUCAUCAGGGAGUAAGACCUGGGUGUUAACAGCACACAGGGUUGAUAGUACCUGAAGAGGAAGGGACGGCUAACUUCGUGCCAGCAGCCGCGGUAAUACGAAGGUCCCGAGCGUUGUUCGGAAUCACUGGGCGUAAAGGGAGCGUAGGCGGCGUGGUAAGUCAGAUGUGAAAUCCCGGGGCUCAACCCCGGAACUGCAUCCGAUACUGCCGUGCUUAGAGGAUUGGAGAGGUAGCUGGAAUUCACGG